GAACCAUGUUCGAGAUGUCCAUGUACAUGAAGAUCCUCUUUACCCCAAGUACGAGCAUGCGAUCCGCCAGACAAGUGACCAGAGUAAAUGGCUUCAAGCAGCAACUCCAACUUUCUCCAAGUUGGAGAAGUUGCUGACCAACAAAAGGGCGCUGAAGGAUGUUGCAAAACUGAGCCCCCACCACCAAACUUCAUCUUUGGAGGCUUUCCAUGCGGUUAUUCUUUGUUUUGCCCCAAAAAAUGUUGUCUUUCCCUUUAUUGGAAUGCUGUGCAGCAUUAACAUGUUUUUGUCUUGACAACCCGGAUACUGCGUCCCAGGAGGCCCCAGCACCAGCUCACAAAGGAACGAUAGGAGAGAUACCUGUAGCGACUGAACAAUUGAUUCAGAGAUUAAGUCUUGCAGAGAUUUAUCAUUGCUUUGUGUUUAUGAAAUAAAUAUUACUAUGCUCCUA